rnacentral:lncRNA from 1 species
AGUAAAAGUAUGCCUGCCCCAUGGUAAUGUGAAACAGUCAUUAAUGAUAGGAGAUUGCCCAGUAGUCACGAAAUGACAGUUACCAAAGAAAGGAGCUAAUUAUUGUGACUUUAUAGCUGAGCAGGAGUUGAGACAUUACCAAUCACAGUCUUAGAAGUGAUCUGUAGGAGAGGAGCUAAUUAACUUCUUGUGAAGAAUGACAAGACCAUUGUUCCUUUGAAGUCCAUAUUCUAUCUGGUUGCCUGGGUGAUUCUGUCCAAUCUAUAUGUAUGUACACACAUAGAAAAAGAAGCAGUUUGACUUUGAAUAUUAAUGAAAUGUACAGUGAUCACCUCUAUGAUACCAUAUUAUAUGUAAUCAGCACAACUGCUUAGGCUCCUGUCGGCUGUGACAGUUUCUCACACUUCCCUUGGUUUUGAUGUCAUUGACAGUUUGAAGAGUCCUGAUUAGGGAUUUUGUAGAAUAUCCCUCAGUUAAGGUUUGUCUGAUAUUUCCCUCAAGGUAAGAUGUGGGUUAUGGCUGGUCUCAUUGCAUCUUAUCUACCAUGUAUAGUAUCAGUAUGACUUAACUCUGACAGUAUGAACUUGAUCACCGGGCUGGGAUAGUAUUUGUCAAGUUUCUUCACUGUCAAGUAACUUUUUUUUUUUUUAAGAUUUUAUUCAUUUAUUUGACAGACAGAGAUCACAAGUAGGCAGAGAGGCAGGAAGAAAGAGAGGUGGGGGGAAGCAGGUUUCCUGCUGAGCAGAGAACCCAACACGGGGUUGAUCAGGGGAUCAUGACCUGAGCCGAAGGCAGACGCUUAACCUACUGAGCCACCCAGGCACCCCAGGUUACUCCUUUUUCAAUAGAGAUUUUUAUUGAUUUUCUUACCUCUGUGAUUCUGGAAAUGAAUGUGGUUCAUUUCACUUAUUUAUUCAACAGAAGUUAUUGUGCGUUAAAGAAAAUGUGUUUUUAGGUGAAUUUUAGGGUUUUUUUUAUUCAAGGCCUACUCAUUGGAGGAAUAAACCAUACGUAAG